rnacentral:lncRNA from 1 species
UCAAAUUUAUUGUCCCAAGAGUACUAUUGGUAUUAACCUUAAAUUUUAAGGUCACAUUGAGCCCAAGAGUAGCAUUUAGUCCUUGAACAUAUUGAAACAACCUAUCCUAACUUGAGCCAUCUUGAUUUACUGUUGAAAUAAAUAUUCCCGGAACAUAGCUGAUUUAUACUCUUUUUAAAGUGCUUAUUUGUGUCUUUUUUUGGUGAGUGGUUUUUUUGUCCACUAUUGUCUUAUAGUAUAAAAGAGAAAACAAGAAAUUGCGAGUUCUGGAAGUAAAGGAGAAAUUAUAACCUAUAUGAAUUAUGUUUGAAACUGGAAAAUGAACACCAAUGAAUCAUGAUUUACUUUUAAAAAAAUUAAGCUAUUUACUUUCAUAUUGAGUUAAGUGAAAAUUUGGAUCACUUUUAUAAUUAUAGAUUGUUUUUUGGUAUACAUUUAUUUUUGCAGAUUAGUAUUGUAGAUUUCUUUUUCAUGGAAUUUUUUUUUUUUCCAAGCUUAGCAUUAGGUAUAGACUGACUCCUAACAAUCAAUAAUAAACAUAAUGACUAAAAGAAAUUGGUUGUUUUGAUGUUACCUUACUUUUCUUGUGUCUGUGGAUGUCAUUUAUAUCUCCAUCUCCAUCUCCAUCUCCAUCUCCAUCAUGCUUCCUUUUAUAUGAUCAAAAGGAAAAAUAAUUUCUUUAAUUAUGUAAACCAAUUAAAAUGAGUGUCUGAGACUUUGUCUUAGGAUCCAGAAAUUCAAACAAAGGCUAAAGCUUUGAACUGAGUCUUAAUGGAGAAUAGCACAGUCGAACCUUCUCAUUAAUAUCAGUUUAUUCAUAAUUCUAAAAAAAUUACUUCAGAUAGAGAAAAUGGGAGAGAGAAACUUAUGACAGUAGUCAAAUUGAGUAGUUUGUAUAUCAUGUUUCUUUUGCUACUGCAAGGGUUUGCGAUCUUUGACUAAAGAAUGUCAUGCUGCCAAGCUUUUCUCAAAG